rnacentral:rRNA from 1 species
UACAGAGGUCUCAAGCGUUGUUCGGAUUCAUUGGGCGUAAAGGGUGCGUAGGCGGCGCGGUAAGUCGGGUGUGAAAUCUUGGAGCUUAACUCCGAAACUGCAUUCGAUACUGCUGCGCUAGAGUACUGGAGAGGAGAUUGGAAUUUACGGUGUAGCAGUGAAAUGCGUAGAUAUCGUAAGGAAGACCAGUGGCGAAGGCGGAUCUCUGGACAGUUACUGACACUGAGGCACGAAGGCCAGGGGAGCAAACGGG